rnacentral:rRNA from 1 species
UUUCUUUGCCGGCGACCGGCGCACGGGUGAGUAACACGUAUCCAACCUGCCCUUUACUCGGGGAUAGCCUUUCGAAAGAAAGAUUAAUACCCGAUAGCAUAAUGAUUCCGCAUGGUUUCAUUAUUAAAGGAUUCCGGUAAAGGAUGGGGAUGCGUUCCAUUAGGUUGUUGGUGAGGUAACGGCUCACCAAGCCUUCGAUGGAUAGGGGUUCUGAGAGGAAGGUCCCCCACAUUGGAACUGAGACACGGUCCAA